UACGUAGGCAGCAAGCGUUGUUCGGAAUCACUGGGCUUAAAGGGUGCGUAGGCGGCUAUCUAAGCAGGGUGUGAAAGCCCCCGGCUCAACCGGGGAAUUGCGUUCUGAACUGGAUGGCUGGAGUGAGAUAGGGGUGUGUGGAACUUCCAGUGGAGCGGUGAAAUGUGUUGAUAUUGGAAGGAACGCCGGUGGCGAAAGCGACACACUGGGUCUCAACUGACGCUGAGGCACGAAAGCCAGGGGAGCGAACGGG
rnacentral:rRNA from 1 species